CUUAGUACGAGAGGACCGGGAUGGACGCACCGCUGGUGUACCAGUUGUUCUGCCAAGGGCAUCGCUGGGUAGCUAUGUGCGGACGGGAUAAGUGCUGAAAGCAUCUAAGCAUGAAGCCCCCCUCAAGAUGAGAUUUCCCAUUCCGCAAGGAAGUAAGAUCCCUGAAAGAUGAUCAGGUUGAUAGGUCUGAGGUGGAAGCGUGGUGACACGUGGAGCUGACAGAUACUAAUAGAUCGAGGACUUAACCUA
rnacentral:rRNA from 1 species